rfam:Myotis lucifugus cont2.53079, whole genome shotgun sequence.
UGUGGUUCUCGGGUGAUGCACCCAGAACCAGAGAGGAGGAGCCUGAUUCCAGGGUGCAUCACCCAAGAACUGCC